rnacentral:tRNA from 1 species
AACUAGUGUGGCAUAGUGGUUUGAGUGCUGGAUUGCAAAUCUGGAGAUCAGGGUUUGAUUCCCAGCUUGGUCA